GCAGUCAGACAUUGGGCCAGAUGUACGUACAUUUGCAAACGGAGCGUUAUCAGCGCCACGGCCAAGCCACAGAAAACGCACGCUGUGAUACGUCAUCUUACGUCGUAUUUACCAAACCUGCAGUUCAUCAGGUAAUCAGUGCCCAUCUCUGCCCUGUAUACCGUAAGUUGCGCGCAAUGAAAAGUGCAAUUCAAUGGGCCUCCUUCUCUCUUUCUAUCAUAGAUCAGCCACAAACUCAAUCAAAACAGCAAAAACAAAGAUGUACCAAUAACAAAGUUGAUCUGCUUGUUUAUGAGGUUACAGUG